UGUGCUUUGCCCCUCCCCUUUCCCAGGUGAUUGGGUUUGGGUGCUGGGUGGGACCAAAAGGUAUAUGAGCCCCAAGUAUGCCAUGAGAGAGCUCCUUCUGCCUGGGCUGCUCUUUGGGGGCAGUGCUUUGUUUUUCCUUCAGUCAGUUGCAGGGUUCUCUAGGCAGGCUGGAGUCUAUGGGUUUCUGGAAUUCUAAGUGCUUGGAAUUCACUUAAUAGAGGGAUAUUUAGUAGAGGUUGCUGGCUCACUGUUUUUUGGGAUGGUGGGAUACGCUUCUGUUUUUGAUUUGUAUUUUAAUCUCCAGAUGAAUCAACCCACUUGUGUAACUCUCCAGAGGACUAAAACCAGCUUGAUUACAUGUUAGAAGAGGCUUGACUGCGUUGGUGCAGUAUUACCAAGAGACUGAGCAGGGUCACGUUUUUCAUCUGCAAAGGGCAUGUCUGUCAUUACCCCUGCCGGGGCUGCUAUGCAUUCAUGGCCUUUCGGCAUUUUUGGACUUGAGGGUUUUUUUUGUUUGUCUGUCUCUGGUCUCUGUGUUUGAGUCCUCUGCUAGGAGCUGCACUGUUUGCGUAUCCAUCGUGGUUGUGACCUUCUCUCUUUGUUUCUUGUAGCUCAGGGCAUAGGCACGGAAACUUGAACGAAGCAUGAGGGUGAGUGGACAGCAGUGGGGGCCCCGAGUUGGUCGGUGGGCUGUGUUAUUCUGCUUCACCUGUCGGGCCGGCUUUGCAAGUGCCUUGCGACAGCAGAGUACGUCUCCUGCCACGUUUCUGAGAUGUGCCAGACGUCAGCGGUUCCAGUUCCUGAAAUGCUGGAGAUGCUCGGAGCACAAGAGGAGCUGGGAGCACGAUGCAUCUCCUGGGGAUGUUAGCCCCGUGACCUUGGCUCAGCACAGUGAAUGGAAGCGCUAAGCCUGGAUCGGGAAGGGACGAAGAAGGUCCUGGGAACAUCCUAGCUGGCCUCUGUGGUGCACAUUGAUAGUGGAUUCUGAGCCCUGAGAAUUAAGUCCAGGGGGAAAUACUGUGUGUUGUGGAGUGGUUGGCAGAGGGAGGUGGGGAGUUGUUUAAAGGGUGUCUAUCUGAUUUCAGUAGCAGAGCAGGUCAGUUGAUUACUGUUUUGUUUCUGAGGAGGUUGUUUCACUGGAAGAAAUUCGGCUAGUGUGCUGGUGCCUGAUGGCACUUCAUUUCUGCAGGCGAAGAGGAGCCUUGUGCCUGAAGCAAUGUCCUGGCUGGCCUUUGUGUUCCUUGGUGAGGAUGGAACCUGCCUCCCAGCAUUC